GCCGCCACCGCCUCAGGGAAGAGGAAGGAGGCCGCGGCUUCGCGUCCCGCCUCUCGCCUGGCUGGCCGUGGGGGGCCUGGACGCAGUGGCCUCCCGAAUCUCCCAGGACCCUAAUAUCGCCCGAGGAUGCUGGGAGGAACGCUGAGCCGACCUCUCCGUUAGGCUGAAGAUUGCACAAACCAUGCUAAUGGCCAGCAUGGAUGGAGGGAGCGUGUGAGAUGUGUGGGGCAGCGUGCUGCAUCUCAGCCAACUCCAGGAGCCAGUUGAUGUGAUGGACUACCUUAAUUGAUUUUUGAAUGUUGAGCCAGCCUUAUGCAUGUGGGAUAAACCCCUGUUGAUCAUGGCUGGCUGGAGUGCAGUGGUGCAAUCAUGGCUCACUGCAACCUCAAAUUCCUGGGCUCAAGGGAUCCUCCUGCCUCAGCCUCCCAAGUAGCUAGGACUACAGUUCCUGCUGGAAUCUUGCUGUUGCCCAUUCAAGUCUGGUGGUUCCUGUGUGUUGGGGUGGCCUUGCUUCUCCUGCUCUUAGCUCUGGAGGAGCCCUCGGCUGGUGCUGCAGUGAAUCUGUCAGAGUCGUCCUAACCAGAGUGCCCCCAUCCUGAAUAGAGGCUGGAUAAAGCCAAACCUGCUGGGUUAUAGUCCCAGGGGAUUGGGCAGUCCUGGUCACAAGAUAUUUAAGGUUGAGGGAAUAAGUUAAUGAUGCUAAGUAAAUAAAGACCCUGAAUUCUUUCCCGUGAGAGAUUCAAGAACUCACUCUUGGCAUCUGGGAUAAGACCCUUUUUCCGGUAACAAACCCCUGCCCUGGCCCUUUCUUCCUUCUGGAAAACUUAAAAAAAAAAUAGGCCUCAAAAAGACUGCAUUAAUCUGAGAAACUGCUGAAUAUGGCUACUAAGAGAAGCUGGGAUUUUCUGAUUUUUAAUGUCGGUUUCAAAGAGAGCAGGUAUACUUUGCAGGAGGGAACCAUGCUAGCUGCAGAAUCAUGGACGAGCUGGACCACAAGUUUUUACACAGUGUGCAUGCUUUUGUUCUCCUGUCAACUUCUGUUGUUUUCCUGUCAACUUCUGUUGUUUUCAUCAAAAGCCAUCAACCCGCCUCAGCCAGGGCAUCAUAAUGUACAUGCAACAGAGUGUUCCAAGAAACUUUCAGCUGAGACCCUAAGACCCUGGACAUGCAAUGCCAGAGUGAAGUGUGAGGACCACAGCUGUGCAGGACAUGCAGAAAGGAGGGGCAGAGAGCCAAUGAGAUGAUGUCCCACGACUCACCUGUGUCAGUGGAGACCGAAGGAGACUUGGAGGGUGCUUUUGGAGAGAACUGCUGAUGUUUUGUGAGCCUCACUCUCUCUGUGUGUGGAAAUGCUGGAGGAUGAAACCGUCUAAACUCUCCUGAAGUCCCGGGAAUGGAGUUUUAAUGGUAAUGUGUGAUGGGAUGUGUGUUCUCUUAUGGUAUGGGAGACACAGAGGACUCACAGAGGACUGGCCUCUGCCUCUUGACCAGGGAUCAGGAGAGAUGGGAACUGAGCUGGUCAGCUGCUCUUCAGAGCUGGUCGAGGAGAGAUUUCUGCUGUGCUGGGAGGGCCUAAAAACAUGCAUGGAUGGAGCCCAAGGACCAGGUGCAGAUCUUAUGCAAGAAUGAACCAGGGGGUGACUUAGGUCCACCAAAAGACUGCCCAGAGGGACAAAAGGCUAUCAGUGAAAAGAAUCCACAGAUGAACUGCCAGUUCCUCAGGGCUGAGGCAAGAUCUUAAUUUUGAGUAGGAGCAGAGUGUAUUACCUACAACAAGGAUACCACAGAUGAGAAAACCCUAGUUUUAAACCUGCUACAUCCAAAGAGAGCAAUGCAACUCUGGCAGUAGCAAAAAUGUUGUGCCUCUCCUUUCCUCACUCCUAAUUUCCCAUCCCAGAGAAGGGUCAGAAACCAUCUUCUGCAAGAUGGGAGGAAGGGUAGCAGCCAGACUGCAAAAAGGGAGAAGAAACCAGCUACCUCUUGCUGUUCUCAGUGGCAGACUCCCCACCUGCAACAGGUCAGGUCUGUUACUGGAGAGAAAAGACAGGACAUUUUUAAAUUCUAGGUAUAGAGCAAUAAAAGAAGAAUUCAAGCAAAGGGAUCAGGAAGAGGAUUGCUACUAAGAGGCAGAGAAACCAAUGAAGCCUUUUGCCAUCUCACACUGGAAAGACAAAAAGUCAUAGAGGCUUGAUUUUUAUAAGGAAAGAGAAGUGAGAAACUGACCUCGAUACUUUGUUGGACUUGCCUAAAGACAUUUGCUGAAUUCUCGGGCUGUGCUGGGAUGGAGAUUAGAGGCCAAAUAAAAACCUCUGGAUAACCAUUAAAAGAAUAGUAUCAGCAACAAUCUCACUACUGGGUAUCUACCCAGAGAAAAAGAAGUCAUUAUACGAAAAAGAUACUUGCACACACGUAUGUAUAGUAGCACAGUUCGCAAUUACAAAAAUAUGGAAACAGCCUAAAUGCCCAUCAUUCAACGAGUGGAUAAAGAAACUCUGGUAUAUUUAUCCCAUGGAAUACUACUCAGUCAUAAAAAGGAAUAGAAUAAUGGCAUUUGCAGCAACCUGGAUGGAAUUCAAGACUAUUAUUCUAAGUGAAGUAACUCAGGAAUGGAAAGCCAAACAUUGUAUGUUAUCACUCAUAAGUGGGAGCUAAACUAUGAGGAUGGAAAGUCAUAAGAAUGACACAGGCCAGGUGUGGUGGUGCAUGCCUGUAAUUCCAGCACUUUGGGAGGCCGAGGCGGGUGGAUCACUUGAGGUCAGGAGUUCGACACCAGCCUGGCCAACAUGGUGAAACCCCAUCUCUGUUUAAAAAAAAAAAAGAAUAAUACAAUGGACUUAGGGGACUCAAGGGAAAGGGUGGGAAGGGGGUGAAGGAUAAAAAAAACUACAAAUUUGGCACAGUAUAUACUGUUCGGGUAAUGGGUGCACAAAAUCUCAGAAAUCACCACUAAAGAACUCAUUCAUGCAACCAAAUACCACCUAUUCUCCAAAUAUUUAUUGAAAUAAUAAUUUUAAAAAGCCCCUUUCAAUCAUACUGGAGUCUGUGCUAAUGAGGUGACUCUUGGAAGAUGGGGUCUGGUGGCCAGAGGAGCCAAUCAUGUGAUUUAAAAAAAAAAAAACUUGUUGCAGUUGAAAUCUGAAAGCAUAUUGAUUAUUUUUUCAUACCUUAUUACAUUAAAGUAUAUUGUUUUAUCUUAUAAAAAAGAAUAGGAUCAGAUGAUCUAAUUUGAAAUCAGUAGAGAAAAAAAUGGAAUGAUAAAAAAUAUUACAAAAGGAGUAGGAGAAGAAAGAAACACUGAAUAGCUAUAACAAAUAUAAAGUCUAAAAUAUGCUAGAUUUAAGCCCAAAUAUAAAAUAAUUAUAUUAUAUGCAAAUGGCUUAAAUAUGUCAGCUAAAAUACAAAGAUUAUCAGAUUAGAUAACAAGAACAUCAAAACCAUAAGAAUACAAUUAUAUGGUAUCUACAAAAGGUACUUCCAAAAUAUAAGGUAGAGAAAGGUCUAAAAUGAAAAUAAGAAAAAAGAUGUAUUAUUCACACUAUAAUUGAAAGAAGCUGGUAUAGCUAUUUAAUAAACUAAUGCUGGGGCCCGGCAUGGUGGCUCUCGCCUGUAAUCCCAGCACUUUGGGAGCUCAAGGCGGGUGGAUCACUUGAGUUCAGGAGUUGGAGACCAGCCUGGCUAACAUGAUGAAACCCAUCUCUAUUAAAAAUACAAAAAUUAGCCAGGUGUGGUGAUGCAUGCUUGUAGUUCCAGCCACUUGUCUCAGAAAAAAAAAACAACAACCUAAUUUUGGUAUAUUCAUACAAUGGAAUACCAUGCACCAUAAAAAUUGAUUAACUGCAGUUGUACAUAACAACAUAAAUGAAUCUCACAUAUAUAAUGUUAGAUGAAAGAAACAGGACACACACACACACACACAUUCAGUGUGAUUCUAUUUACAUAUUUUUAAAACAGGCAAACUAAAUUAUAUCACUUAGAAAUGCAUAAACAAAUGGAAAAUUUUAAGCAAGAAACUGAAUUUUGCAAAAGUCAUAAUGGUUAUUUCUGAUUAGGGAAGGAAAAGAUUAUGAUUAGAAGUGACACACUGGGGGCCUCUGUAGUGGUCACAGUAUUAGCUUCAUUAAAUUUUGCAUAUAUAUGUGUAUAUAUGUGUGUGUGUAUAUAUACACACAAUUUUGCAUAUAUAUGUAUAUAUAUACACACAUAUAUGUGUACAUACACACAAUUUUACAUAUAUGUGUGUGUGUAUAUAUAUACACACACUCACAAAUGCCACUAGUGUGGAUUAUAGCUGAAGAAAUGGAUAACACACUACUUAUUAAUGUAGAACAAAGGCCAGUGCACCCCACCAAACUGAUACCCCCAAACUCACUUAUAUGAAUAAGUGUAUGAAACCUAUGAGGUUUCCCUAUGAAACCUACUCCAUAAAAUUGCUGAAGGCAACUUUUCCAUCAGAUGUGUAAAAUUAAUGUAGGGAUACAUCAAACAUUAGAAAGCAAGGAAAACAGUAAUUCUCCAUUAACAGUCCAUAAUUAUAAGAAAAUCUGUGAAAGGUGGAGAAAAAUGUAAAAUAAUAGUCAUAAGGAAACUCAGUGAGAUACAAUAAAAUGCAGACGUACAAACUCAAUAAAGUCAGGAAAGCAAUUCAUGGUUUGAAUUGAUUUGAAUGAGAAAUUCAACAAAGAGACAGAUAUCAUAAAAAAGGUAUCAUAAAAAAGAACCAAACAGAAAUCCUAGAGCUAAAUAAUUCAAUGAAUAAAACAAAUGAAAUUGAUAGCUUCAACAAAAGACUAGAUCAAGUAGAAGUAACAAUUUCUAAACUGAAAGAUAGGUCUUUUCAAACAACUCAGGAAGUAGAAGCAGCAGAAGCAGGAGGAGGAGAAGGAGGAAAAGAAGAAGAGGAAGAAGAAGAGGAGGAAGAGGAGGAGGAAGGAAAAGAAGAGGAAGAAGAAGGAGGAGGAGGAGAACAAGAAGAAGAAAAGGAAGAAGAAGAGGAGGAGGAAGAAGAAAUAAUGAAGCAAGGAUAUCAGAUUUAUAGGGCACUAUUACACCAAGAAAUAUUCAUAUUAUGGGUGUUCCAGAGGCAGAAGACAUGGGAAAAGGUGAGAAAAACACAUUUAAUAAAAGAAUAGCAGAAAACUUCGCAAGUUUUGAGAGAAAGGUGGACAUCCAGGUCUAGGAAGCUCAAAGAAUUCCAAAUAGAUUCAACCCAAACAGGUCCUCUCCAAGGUACAUAACAGUCCAAUUGUCAACAGUCAAAGACAAAGAAUUCUAAAAUCAGCAAGUGAAAAGUGUCAAGUCAAACUUAAGGGAAUCCCCAUUAGACUAAGAGCAGAUUUCUCUACACAAACAUUACAGGCCAAGAGAGAAUGGGGCAAGAUAUUGAAAGUACUGGGAAAAAACCCCUGUCAACUAGGAAUAUUAUACUCAGCAAAGCUAUCUCCUUCAGAAAUAAAGGAGAAAUAAAGUCCCAGACAAGCAAAACAUAAGGGAAUUCACUAUCACUAACCUGAUUUUAUAAGAAAUGCUCAAGGGAGCCUUGCAUCUGAAAGUGAAAAGAUAAUAAUGUGAACCCAAAAUAUCUGAGACAGGUCGCAGUCAAUUUAGAAAGUUUAUUUUGCCAAGGUUAAGGAUGCACCCAUGACACAGCCUCAGGUGGUCCUGAGGCUUGGACAUGUGCCCAAGGUGGUUGGGGAAUAGCUUGCUUUUAUGCAUUUCAGGGAGACAUGAGACACUUCAGGACAACUUGAAGUGGGGGCUUCCAGGUCAGAAGUAGAUAAGAGACAAAAGGUUGCAUUCUUUUAAGUCCUCGAUCAGCUUUCCACUGAAUACACAAUUUAGUCUGGCUUGGUGCAUCUGCAUUGUUACAUAAAGAAUAAGACAGAGGAAACAAUCAGAUAUCCAUUUGUCUCAGGUCAACCUCAGAGGGAUGACUUUGAAUUCUGUCCUUUGCCCACAAGGAAUUUCCUUGAGACAAGGAAAUUCCAAGUCUCAAAACACUAAAACAUCAAAAUUAUGUCAAAUAUCUUAUGUGACCACAGUGGAAUAAACUAGACAUCAAUUACAAGAGGAACAUUUAAAACUAUGCAAAUACAUGGGAGUUAGAAAACAUGCUUCUGAAUGACCAAUGAGUGAAGGAAUAAAUUAGGAAGGGAAUUUAAAAAUUCCUUGAAACAAAUGAAAAUAGAAACACAACAUACCAAAACCUAUGGGGCACAGCAAAAGAAGUGUUAAAUGGCAAAUUUAUAGCAAUCAAUGCCUACAUGAAGACACUAGAAAUAUUUCAAAUAAACAGCCUGAUGAUGCACAAAGAUACAAAUCUACCAAAAGAAGAAAAAACCAAAUCCAAAAUUAGUAGAAAAAGGGAAAUAAUGAAGAUCUGAGAAGAAAUAAACAAAAUUGAAGCUAAAAAAUACAAAAGAUCAAUGAAACAAAAAUUUGGAUUUUUGAAAAGAUAAACAAAAUAGACAAUUAGCUAGACUAACUAAAAAAGAGAGAAAACCAAGUAAAUAAAAUCAGAAAUGAAAAGGGGAUGUCACAAUGGAUAUCACAGAAAUACAAAGGAUAAUUAAAAACUACUAAAAAUAACUAUAUUUCAAUAAAUUUGAAAACCUCAAGGAAAUGAACAAGUUCCUGGACACAUACAAACUCUUGAGAUUUAACCAAGAUGAAAUAGAAAACCUGAACAGAGUGAUAAGAAGUAAUGCAAUUGGGCUGGGCACGGUGGCUCACGCCUGUACUCCCAUCACUUUGGGAGGCUGAGCUGAGCAGAUCACAAGAUCAGGAGUUUGAGACUAGCCUGGCCAACAUGGUGAAACCCUGUCUGUACUGAAAAAAUACAAAAAUUAGCCAGGCAUGGUGGUGUGCACCUGUAAUCUCAGCUACUCAGAAGGCUGAGGCAGGAGAAUUACUUGAACCCAGGAGGCAGAGGUUGCAGUGAGCCAAGAUUGCACUGCUGCACUCCAGCCUAGGUGACAGAGUAAGUCACACACACAUACACACACACAAAAGAAGUAAUGAGAUUGAAUUAGUAAUAAAAAGUUCCCCAAAAAAGAAAAGUUCGGGACUGAAUGGCUUUCCUAUUGAAUUCUAUUGCUCCUUUAAAUAAGAAUUAAUACCAAUUUUUCUCAAGUUAUUCCAGCAAUGUUGAAGCAGUGGGAAUUCUUCCUAAUUUAUUCUAGGAGGUCAGCAUAACCCUGAUACCAAAACUAGGCAAGAACAGAACAGCAACAAAACAAUCUACAGGCCAAUAUCCCUGAUGAACAUAGGUGGAAAAGUUCUCAGUGAAACACUAGCAAACUGAAUCCAAAAUUACAUCAGAAAGAUGAUACACCAUGCUCAGGUGAAAUUUAUGCCAGCAAUUCAAGGAUGGUUCAACAUAUACAAAUCAAUAAACAUCAUUAUUACAUCAAUAGAAUAAAGGACUAAAACCGUGUCAUCAUCUCAAUAGAUGAAGCAAAAGCAUUUGAUUAAAUUCGACAUCCCUUCAUUAUCAAAAUUCUCAGUAAAUUAGGUACAGAAGGAAAGUACUUCAAUAUAAUAAAAGCUAUGUGUGACAUAACCACAGCUAACAUUUUAUUCAAUGGGAAAAAGCCAAAAGCUUUUCUCUUAAGAACUGGAACAAUACAAGGAUGUCCACUCUCAUUGCUUUUGUUCAACGUAGUACUGGAGGUCUUGUGCAGUGCAAUUGCCAAGAGAAGAAAAUAAAUGGCAUCCAAAUUGGAAAGGAGGAAGUCGAAUUUUUCUUUGCAGAUGACAUAAUCUUAUAUACUGAAAAACUUAAAGGCUCUACCAAGAAUUCUUAGAACUGAUAAAUGAAUUCAGUAGAGUUGCAAGAUACAUAAUUAAUAUACGAAAAUCAGUAGCUUUUGUAGGCACAUACAAUGAACUAGCUGAAACAGAAAUCAACAAGGCAAUCCCAUUUACAAUAGUUACAAAACAAAUAAACUGCCCAGUAAUAAAUGUAACCAAGAAGGUGAAAGCCUGCUGUAAGGAAAACUACAAAACUUUGAUGAAAAAAAUUGAAGAGGAUACAAACAAAUAGAAAGACAUCCCCAUGCUUAUAGGUUGGAAGAAUUAAUAUUGUCAAAUGACAAUACUACCCAAAGCAAUCUACAGGUUCAAUGUAAUCCCUAUGAAAAUACCAAUGACAUUUUUCACAGAAAUAGAAAAAAAUCAUAAAUGUAUAUUAUACUACAAGAGACUUCGAAUAUCUAAAGCAAUUCCAAACAAAAAGAACAAAGUUGGAGGUAUCAAAUAAGAAGGGUGAGAAUGCCCCCUGGGCUGACCAAAGCCCACGGGCCACUGCAUCCCUUGCCAAGUGCCUACAUCCCACUGCCAUUGCUGCCAUCAUGCCCAAGACAAAGAUUGAAGGGGAUGCUAAAGGAGAUAAAGCCAAGGUGAAAGACGAACCACUGAGAAGAUCCGCGAGGUUGUCUACUAAACCUUCCAAAGCCAGAGCCCAAGCCAAAAAAGGCUCUCGAGAAGAAGGGAGAGAAGGUACCCAAUGGAAAAAGGGAAAAGCUGUUGCUGGCAAGGAGGGGAAUAACCCUGCAGAAAAUGGAGAUGCCAAAACAGACCAGGCACAGAAAGCUGAAGGUGCUGGAGAUGCCAAGUGAAGUGUGCACAUUUUUGAUAACUAUGUGCCUCUAGAGGUGACUGUAGAGUGUGAAAUACUCUUUUUAUCAAGUUUUAUAAAAAUGCAGCAUUUUGUUUCACUUUUUUUAAAAGCUAUGUUGUUAGCACACAGAACAAUUCAUUGUUGUUUUUGGGAAAAGAAUGUCCGUGAAGCUGGAUUGAUGUGGAGAAGACACCUUUCCCUUCUAGUUUUGAGAGACUUCCUCUUGGCUCCCAGGAGGAGGGAUUUCCUGACUUUGACACACAUGGCCACCUUGUCACAAAAGCCAUUAAAAACAAAUUCAUUUUUAUGUCCUCUUCUCCCUUUCAACCUUUCAGCAUAGACUUAACUCCCUUAAACCCAGACACCUGUUGGGAUGUGACCCCCCAGUAAUUGGUCACCAGUGUGUCAGGCAAUCUGGACUUUCCAGUGAUAGCACUGAGAUGGUGCUCCUUAAAAGAGCAGUGGUUCCAUUUGUAGGUUGUGGAUCUUUGGAUAAAUUCUGCCAUUUUCAUUUUACUUCCUGAAAGCCAGGGUUGGCUCAUGAAAAGGUGUUGAACAACAUGCUAAAUGUGAAAUGUUAACCCUCACUCUAAACUUUCUCUGUUCAGAGCAUCAGAUGAAGACUUAAUUGAGUUUUAUAGUGGCUUUCUGAUUUUGGGUAGUCAACUGAAGAAGGGAGUUUGAAAGUUGUUGUGUACUGUUAAUGAUUGUCUGCCCAAGUUCUGCUUGAAAUACCAUGAUUGUUUAUGGAAAGUACCUUUACUAAAGCUGGAUAAAGUUUGAAAUAACAAAAAAAGUUGGAGGUGUCACACUACCAGACCCCAAAAUAUAUUACAAAGUUGUAGUAACCAAAAUGGGCAUUAAAAAACACGUAGAUCAAUGGAACAGAAUAGAGAACACAGAAAUAAAUGCACAUAUUUAUAGUCAACUGAUUUUUGUCAAAACUACCAAGAACACUCAUUGGAGAAAGAACCGUUUCUUCAAUAAAUAGUUCUAGGAAAAGUGGAUGAAACUAAACCCCUACCUCUCACCCAAUACAAACGUCAACUUAAAGUGGAUCAAAGACCUAAAUUUAAGACCUGAAACCAUGAAAUUACUAGAAGAAGUUCUUUGGGGGAAAUGCUUCAGGAUAUGAGUCUGGGAAAAGAUUUUAUGAAUAGGAUAUCCAAAGCACAAGCAACAGAAACAAAAAUAAACAAAUGGCAUUAUAGCAAACUAAAAAGUUUCUGUGCAGCAAAGGGUACAACCAAUAGAGUGAAAAGAUAAUUUACAAUAUUAGAGAAAAUCUGUGCAAACUACUUAUCCAAUUUGGGGUGAAUAUCCUGAAUAUACAAAGAACUCAAACACUUCAACAGCUAACAAAAAAUAAUAAUAAAAGAAAAAGAUGGACUGCGCCCGGCCAAGUUUAUUUUUAAAAAAUCAAAGAACAGGUGACAAAUGCAAUAUGGUCCUCAAAGCCUAAAAUAUUUAGUGUGACCCCUUUUAUAAAAACUGUGCUGAUCCCUGCUUUUAGAACCUUAUUUCAUUUGAAUUAAACACUUCUAUUGCUUUUGUAAAUGUAGUCUAAUGUCCAAAUUUAUAGUAGAAUACAAUUUUUCCCCAAAAAUAUGCUUCAAUUUACUGAAUUGUGUUUUUAUGUUAGUGAAAUUUAAACUCUGUACUGCUUUUUAUGACUGCCUAUCCUCUGUUUAGAGAGGAACAGGUUCCAUGUUUCGCUGUCACCUGACAAGUGUUAAGCAGACACAUAGAGAAAGUUAAAAUUUGUUUUGAGUCCUUAAGAGUGAAGUUAAGGAAUCAGACCUAUAAAUGGACACCAUGUGAUGAGUGCUGUCAUCAAAGCAUGGACAAUGGGCUUUGGGAGUACAUUAAGGGGACACCGAUUUAGUACUCCAUUAUAGGGGGGCAGCCUCACUCAUUUAUCCUGUGCCCUGAUUAUGGACAUUUUGGUUGUUUUCCAACUUUUCUUUUGUCUAUCAAAACAAUGUUGCCAUGCAUAACCUUGUACAUGGUUCAUUUCAUUCACACGGGAACAAAAGUGCUGGGUUGAAGGCUAUGUGCUGGGAGACUGAAUAGACCAGUGGACAAUGGCCAGGCUAUAUAAAAAUAGGAUUCAGAUCCACAAACUGCAGCAAUAAUCUCUGUAACAAUUGGCCCAAAAUGUUAAGAACUUGUUUUUUUUUUUGAGACCGUGUCUCACUCUGUCACCCAGGCUGGAGUGCACUGGUGAUCAUGGCUAACUGCAGCCUUGACCUCUUGGGCUCAGGUGAUCCUCCCACCUCAUUCUCCUGAAUAGCUGGGACUGCAGGUACAGCCAACGUGUCCGGCUAAUUUUUUUUUUGUAUUUUUUGUAGAGACAAGGUUUCACCAUGCUGCCCAGGCUGGUCUUGAACUCCUGGGCUCAAGUGUUCCACCCACCUUGGUCUCCCAGAGUGUUGGGAUUACAGGCCUGAGCCGCCAUAACAGGUCAAGAACUUGAGUGAUGAUUGACAACUUCUCUAAUUUUUGUUCCUGCUUCCAACUAACAGCCAAUCAGAGAAAGUCAAAUAUGCACCCUAACCAAUCACAUAGGAGGCCCCACUUCUAGUUAGCUGCCUCCAGCUUUCCCACGCCUAUAUCCUCCAAUCAACAUGCACUUGAAAGCUUCCCCUUAUUCUACUAUAAAGCUUUCCUACCUCUCUCCUUGCCUUUGAGUCUCUGCCGAAAUGCAAGGUGGUGGGUGACGCCCUUGCUAUGGCAAGCUCUGAAUAAAUAGUCUUUGCUUGUUCUCACUUGGUUGGUCUUCAUGUAUUUCCAUAGUUAACAGUGGAGGUCUGCACACUCUGUUGUCCUGGACUCAACCUUCAGCCAGGUCUGGUACCCACAGAGGCCCCCUGUGUCUUGCCACUCGAAGCACGGAUGUGCUAAGUCAGCCCUGAGUCUAAACCCCACUCUCUUUGUGUUGAGUUCCUUGACUGUGCUCACUUUGGUAUCCAGCUUUUGUUAAUAACUGGGUAUUAGUUCCCAUUUGUUUGGCAGCCUUGGUGGAAUCAUACCUUUCUUUGUCAGUCCUUUUCGCUCACGUACCUGUGAGCUUGUGGUUCUCACUGACAGGCACCCACUUGGACAAACUCAGCUAUGGGUAACCAAUAAAACCAGAUGAGGUUCUCCUUCUGUCUGGAUUUUGUGUCUUGAGAGCUUGACUUUGAUCCAUCUGGAUUUUGUGUCUUGAGAGCUUGACUUUGAUCCAGAGACAGCAUUCUCUCUGGCUUUCUGCCUGCUGGGUGGCAUUUUUUGAUUGGUACACCUCCAGAUAAAAUUCUGACGUACAAAGUGCUUCACUAAAAGAUUCAUUGACCAGAGCUAAUGAGCAAUUCGACAAAUGUAAGAAAGAACACACUAGACUCAUUUUUCUGGAAAACCUCCCCCUCCAUGCUCCCUUGGUUGUCUCCUAAUAUCCAGCUCUCUUUUCCUUUUAUGCUCUGAUCACUGUCCUUCCACACCCACACCGCCUCCCUCAUCUUCCCUUGGUCCAGACCUCCUACUUUUCCCAAACAACCCUCCUAAAACUCCUCUUUCAAACCAGUUAUGUGGGGAAACUGUAGACUUAAGCCUUGGGCCUGGGCUGAAUUAAGAGGUAUAAUUAAAGAUUUCCCUAAUGCUUGUAAUCUCAGCACUUAGGGAGGUUGAGGCAGGAGGAUUGCUUAAGCCCGGGCGUCUGAGACCAGCCUGGGCAACACAGUGAGACCCUGUCUGUAUUUUUUUUUAAGUUGAAAAAAAAAUGAUUUCCUUAAAGCCAAAGAAGACCAGCAAAUAUUUAUUAGAAAAGUUUAGAAUUCCUCUGGAGGCAUAUGACCCAGGGACCCCUGACUUUGUACACAUGUUGUACACAUGGGUACCUUGUACAUUUGUCAACGUGUACACAUGUUGGUCAGAACCUCCGAUGCUAAAGGUUGGAGGGUAAAAGCUGAUUGGACUGACCAGGAACGAUGCCUUAUAGGAUUCCCCUUUCCACAAUAAACCUGACAGUCAAAAAAAGGGACCUACCCAAAAUGUAGGUCAAGUGCCCUAAAAGUCAUACCCCAAAUGUUUUCAAAACAAAUCUGCUGGAGCAUAAUUCAAUCAUGCAAACAAACAAAGAAAAAAGAUGACACUAUAGGAGAUUUCCGAGAUAGACUAGAAAGCAACUUUGGAUGACAGCUGAGCGUUACAGAGGUGCUGAGGGAGCAACAGCCCUUUCAUCUGGCUUUGUCAAUGGAAUUGAACCUGAAGUUGGAGACCUAAUUCAAAAACAGAAAUGAGCAUGGAGAAUAGCCACCUGAGAUGAGCAACAACACCAGGCACAGCAUGUUGCAAGGGCUUUAGAACAAAAACGAGGCAAGAUCCAAAGUAAACUGUGGCCCUGCAGAUCAAACAGCUGGGUAGCCCACUCCCCAGUCAACCACCUAUGGACAAGGACACUUUGGGAUAUCUUAAACUGGAAAGAUCUUCCCAUCUUACACACACAUGCGCGUGCGCGCUCACACACACACACACACAGAGAACAGAAAAAAAUGACAAAAAUUCCUUGAUUCAUAUCAAUGAAGGAGUUGUGUAGAAGGACAAAGGGCAUGAUGUCCUGUUAUGCUUAAACACUCAAGAUGAAUUAGCUUAACUGCAGAUGGCCGUCCUCAUCAGCUGCUAGUAGACACUCUUUAUACAUUGAACCCUGCUGCCUUUGUUCAACCUCCUCACGGUAACAACUCACAAGUCAUUGGGAUUUCAAGUAAUCCAUAGGCUUUUUGUGUCUCUCAGCCCUUAACCACAACCUUUGGGCUCUUCCUGUUCUCUGACACCAAUCCUGCAAAUUUAGUAGGGAGAGAUCUAUUCUGCAAAUGGAAUUGUAAUAUUAAAUGCAUACCGGGGGUGGGGGACUGUCUCCUGCGGUGUCAGAGGACCCUGCAUUCAUAAUCGCGUUGCCUGCUCUGGCUGGCUGUGUACCUUAGCCUCUUUUGUUAUAUUUGAGGAACACCCAAGAUAAGGAUUAUGGGGCAAUGUAGGGUUGAGGGAAAUUUGUGUUAGGAUUUAAUAGAACAUUCUGAAAUUUUUGGAGAAAAAUGAUAGACAUAAUAUUCUUAAUAACAGCUACAGUAGUAUAGAGUAUAUACAGCAUCCAAAUGGAAAUAGUUGUAAAUAUUUGUCAACAUUAAAUUUAGUUUAAAAUAAAAACCUUGGGAGCUCAGUAGUCAGCUGAGAAAAUGUCCUAACCUUGCAUUUUGAAGGGGAGAUUGACAUUUCUUUUUUUUUCCAUUUUGUUUAUUUAUGUAUGUAUUUGUUUUUCAAUUUUACUUUUUAUUUUAGAUUCGGGGGCACAGGUGCAGGUUUGUUACAAGGGUAUAUUGUGUGAUGCUGAGGUUUGGGCUUCUAAUGAUCCCAUUGCCCGAGUAGCAGACAUAGUACCCGAUGAGUAGUUUUUCAGCCCAUGCCCCCAGCUUCCUUCCUUUUGGAGUCCCCAGUGUCUAUUUUUCCCGUCUUCAUGUCCUUUUGUGGUGAAGCUAAACAUUGGUUUAGCCUAUAAGUGAGAACAGGCCGGGUGUGGCGGCUCAUGCCUAUAAUCCCAGCACUUUGGGAGGCCAAGGUGGGAGGACCACUUGAGCCCAGGAGUUUGAGACUAGCCUGGGCAACAUGGCAAGACACUGUCUCUACAAAAUUUUUAAAAAAUUACCUGGGCAUGGUGGCAUACACCUGUAGUCCAAGCAACUUUGGAGGCUGAGGUGGGAGGAUUGCUUGAUCCUGAGAGAUUGAGGCUGCAGUGAGCUGUGAUCACACCACUGCACCGCAGCCUGGGCUGGGCUUUUGAGACAGAGCAAGACCCUGUCUCAAAAGAAAAAAAAAAGAAGUGAGAACAUGAAGUAUUUGGUUUUCUGUUUCUGUGUCAAUUCGCUUAGGAUAAUGGCCUCCAGCUGCAUCCAUGUUGCUUCAGGGGACGUGUUCAUUCUUUUUUGUGACUUUGUAGUACUCCGUGGUGUAUAAGUUUGAUAUUUUUUCGUUCUUAUUUAUUUAUUUAUUUAUUUGAGAGGAGUCUCGCCCUGUCGCCCAGGCUGGAGUGCAGUGGUGUGAUCUCGGCUUCACUGCAGGCUCCACUUCCCAGGUUCAUGCCAUUCUCUUGCCUCAGCCUCCCGAGUAGCUAGGAUUACAGGCGCCCGCCACCACGCCCGGCUAAUUUUUUUGUGUUUUUUAAAAGAGACGGGGUUUCACCCUGUUAGCCAGGAUGGUCUCGAUCUCCUGACCUCGUGAUCCACCCGCCUCGGCCUCCCAAAGUGCUGGGAUUACAGGCGUGAGCCACCGCGCCCGGCUGACAUUUUCUUUAUCCAAUCUACUAUUGAUAGUCACCUGGGUUGUUUCUAUGUCUUUGCUGUUGAGAACAGUGCUGUGAUAAACAUACAAGGGCAGGUGUCUUUUGUGAUUUAUUUUCCUUUGGGUGUAUACCCAGUCAUGGGGUUGCUGGGUUGAAUGGUAAUUCUAUUUUUGCUUCUUUGAGAAAUCUCCAAACUGUUUUCCACAGGGGCUGAACUAAUUUGCAUUCCCACCAGCAGUGUAUAAGCAUGCCCUUUUCUCUGCAGCCUCACCGGCAUCUGUUAUUUUUUUGACGUUUUAACCAUAGCCAUUCUGACUGGUGUGAGAUGGUGUCUCAUUGUGGUUUUGACCUGCAUUUCUCUGGUGAUCAGUGAUGCUGAGCAUUUCUUCACGUGUUUGUUGGCCGUAUGUAUGGAGACUGACGUUUAUGUUGGAUGACAAUUAUGGGGAAAAAACUCACCAGGACUACGUAAUAUAAUCUUCCUUCUGUGUAGAAAGAGGCAUUUCCUAUGUCCCCAGACCAUCACACUGACUCUACAAGAUUGGGUUCUCUUGUCGUUAUGGUGCUACAGGGCAGGAUGUCCAACUCUGACACUCAAGGGAGAUCAGGUGCGUUAUAGGUAGUGUGGUUUAGUAGAGUGAAAACUAUCCAAGUCACCUGGAAUCCAGACAUGAAGCCAUCUUGAUAGAGGGCCCAAGGGUAAUCCACUUCAGUAGCCAGGAACCUGUUGAGCAAAUGCCAGCUUGUGAUAAAAAUUUAUUGUAUGGAUCACAGUGUCCCAUAAAGUAGAGACUCUAAAUGUUAAAAACAACAUUGGCUGCUUGACUUGAUUAGAACGCAGCAGUUUGAGAUGUUUAAAUGUGAAGGGCGAGAGGCUUGGCUUCCUAUGUUUAAGGAGUUGAUCUCGUGAUGUUUGGAGAGCCCAGCUUUGAGAUGCCUGGUCUCUCCUGAUGCUUCCCUUUGAUUCCACAAAAGGGAGGGCCCGGUGGCUGCUGAAUGGUACAGUCUGAGGCGAUGACAGAGGCUGCAGGUCUCUGCCAGCAUUGGAGACCCUCAGACACAGUGUGGCUGGUGACCACUGGAGGAGGCAGGGUUCAGGUUCCUGGGCAUCUGCAGGCCAGCUCUCAAACCCCCACCCACCUCCCACUUCCCCCCGAACCCCCGGCUCUCCACAGCUUGCACCUAUCCUAUCUGGAGUAGUAGUGAGAGUUGUAUCCCUUAAUUCCCAUUUUUAUUGGGUUUCUGGACAAUGCUGGAAAGCAUUCAAAAUAGCUCAUAUUUUACUCUUACCUUGUGAGUCUAAGUAAAGACCCAUUCAUUUCAAGAAAAAUAACUUGCUUUUGGUUCUGUCCCUGGAGCUAGAAAGUUUGCUGUUAAGUAGAUUGAUUACGCAUCAGCCUGGAAUAGCUAGUUCCUUGCUGUGUGGCCUUGGGCAAGCCACUCAAGUGCUCUGGGCUGUCAUUUACUCACCUGUGAACUAAGAGGGCUGAACUGGAUGAUAUUGAAGGUCCCUAUUAGCUCUAAGUCAGGGCCCAGCAUGCAGGCAUAUCAAGUUUCUUUUCUUCAUUUUCAAAAAGUAAGCUUCUGAGAAUAUUUUUGACCAUAUUGCAAAGUCAAAUAAUUAUUGAGUGAGUCUGUUAUUUCAUGCCAUUCCUUUUCUACUAGCUAAUCUAGUUUGCAAAAUACCCUAUGCUGCUGGUGAAAGGAAAAAAAAAAACAAAGUGUGAACCCAAAACUCAUGAUUCAUUCUAAGUUAGUUCAACAGAUUAGUUCCUCAUUCUCUCAG
rnacentral:lncRNA from 1 species